rnacentral:misc_RNA from 1 species
UCUCCGUUGGUGAACCAGCGGAGGGAUCAUUACUGGAAUCGCAAGAUCCCACAACCCUGUGAACCUACCGAAACGUUGCCUCGGCGGGUGCCCGGCCUCCGCGCCGGGCGCUGCGCCCGCCGGCGGCCCCCUACUCUGUCUCUGCAGCGUGGCAUCUCAGAGUCCCAGAAAACAAGUCAAAACUUUCAACAACGGAUCUCUUGGCUCUA